UACGAAGGGGGCUAGCGUUGCUCGGAAUCACUGGGCGUAAAGGGUGCGUAGGCGGGUCUUUAAGUCAGGGGUGAAAUCCUGGAGCUCAACUCCAGAACUGCCUUUGAUACUGAGGAUCUUGAGUUCGGGAGAGGUGAGUGGAACUGCGAGUGUAGAGGUGAAAUUCGUAGAUAUUCGCAAGAACACCAGUGGCGAAGGCGCUCACUGGCCCGAUACUGACGCUGAGGCACGAAAGCGUGGGGAGCAAAAAGG
rnacentral:rRNA from 1 species